rnacentral:tRNA from 1 species
GUCCCCGUAGCUCAAUUGGCAGAGCAGGAGGUUGUGGCCCUCUUGGUUGUGGGUUCGAAGCCCGCCGGGGACU